rnacentral:rRNA from 1 species
CCUACGGGCGGCAGCAGUGAGGAAUAUUGGUCAAUGGGCGCGAGCCUGAACCAGCCAAGUAGCGUGAAGGAUGACUGCCCUACGGGUUGUAAACUUCUUUUAUAAAGGAAUAAAGUGAGGCACGUGGGCCUGUUUGUAUGUACGUUAUGAAUAAGGAUCGGCUAACUCCGUGCCAGCAGCCGCGGUAAUACGGAGGAUCCGAGCGUUAUCCGGAUUUAGUGGGUUUACAGGGAGCGUAGCUGGGUUGUUAAGUCAGUUGUGAAAGUUUGCGGCUCAACCGUAAAAUUGCACUUGAUACUUGCAGUCUUGAUUACAGUUGCGGUAGGCGGACUUCGUGUUGUAGCGG